AGGCACUCCAGAGCCGCGAGCCGCCUCGCACAGCCCGCGCGUUUCUUCUGCUCCCCCGGAAGAGGGCACGGUCUCCUUCCUGGCCGCUCUCUGCCGGCCGUACCGCACGACAGCUGGCAGCACCGUCAGCCCCUGCUCGGGAGCUCGGAAGAUGCUCUAGCUCCGCGGCCAGUGCAGCGAACCCACCCAACCCUGGUGCAGGAGCCAUUGCAGCAAAUUGACAGGGAGUCCUCUGGGCCGGAAGUGGCCCUGGCCCUGCGCCGUAUGCUCUCUAGGACUGCAGGAGGCUCGGCAUCUCGGUGAUAGACCCAGGAAGUCAGUGGCUGGGCGGGGCGGGCUGUGAGGACUGAGGUCUGUAGCGAAGGUCCAGCCCCGUGGUCUUCGCUUCGUUCGGCAACGAACGCCCAGCGAAGGGACAUCCCUGUAGAAGUUCUGCUGCGUGUGGUCCAGCCGUCCCCACUCCUCCCGGGAGAGGUACAAGGCCACAUCCUCGAAAGUCACUGGCAUCUGAAACAAUGUGAAACAUCCACUCUCCAGGACAUGACGUGGACACGGUGGAGGGACACCAUGGCAUGAGAUGUGUGGUGAGACCCCGGACUCCCAACCCACUGUGUCGAGUGAGGCCUGCCACUUCCAUCUGAUCGGGAAGCAGGUGAGCCACCCAAGGCCUUCUGGGGAGUUGAGAAAGAACAAAGACCAAGAGGUAUUUUCAGGGAUCACAGUUAAGACUUAGGAUGUCCAUGCAGCCCCCAGCCUCAGCUGAGACCUCGGAGGACGGUUCCCAACGGCUACCAGCGAGAGGCCCUGUGUCUCUAAUUCCUGCUGCUUCUCCUCCAGCUUUGGCCCAGGCCUGACCAUGGGCCUUGAGCCUGGACAAUUCCAGCAACACUAGCAAGAGCCCCAGGCUUCAGGCUUGGCUGCAAGUGGGGCCAGCGGGGUCCUGGCUUUCACACAGAACCAGCAGAUGCAGGAAGGGCUGAGUACCAUGCAGGGGCCGGGGAAGGGCCACUCACCUGGGACCAGGCAGUGAGGAGCGCUGCAGCCAUCUGCCGGUCUCUGGUCCUCCCCUCUCGGGAAAGCACGGGGAUCCGGGGGGAGGGGAGGGCUGUGGGAGGAGAGAGGUCCUCACGGUGAUCAGCUCAUCCUGCUGGACCUGCUGCUACUUCAGCUGCCUCAAACUCCACCCCUGGCCCGACCCAAGGACAGGGUCGGAUGGCUCUGACGCUGCCAGGGGGCUGUGGGCCAUGGGGGGAUAGCGUCCCCUGCUGGCAUAGAGACCCUCAGCCCCACCUGGACCUGGGCCAAACCUCCACCUCCCCACAGCUGCCUCCCUGGGAAAGCGCCUCUUCCCCGUCCCUCUCCUACCUCCGCCAGGCAGGAAGAGAGCUUUCUCCUUAGAGCCGUGACUUAGGGGUGCCCAGCCCCAGGCACCUUGAGCCCCAUCCUCCUGCGAUGCCCCCUCGGAGUGUGGCUCUUCGGGCUCCAUCUUAAUGUGCAGUGACUCCUGAGUGUCCCCUGAAGGUACCGCCUCCCCCAGCUUAGAAGGCAUUUCCUGAUGAGGAUGUCCACGAUCUGGAACCUAGAAAGGACAGCCCCAUCAGCACCCAGAUGAGUGGGAGAGACACCCAGGGCCACAUGGCAGUGCGCUCCGGCAGCGUCGGAAACCAACAUGCAAGACGCAGCUUGAAGGACUGUCCUUGCUGCAUUCAUCCAGCUCACCCCAGCAAGGACGGGCGGCAAGAGGAGGAAUAUUCACCAAGCCGCCUCCACAGUGCCGGUGGGCGUGGUGCCCAAGGGCAGCUACCCCUUCUCAGCUCCAGCCUCACACUGACCUCAGCAGUGUAGACUGCUGUCUAUUAGUGUAUGAAGAAACCAAGUGUAGUGGCUUGAAUAGUGUCCUCUAAGAAUCCGUGUCCUCCCUGGACCUCAGAAUGGGACCUUAUUGGGGAAAAGGGUCUUUAUACAGAAUAGGAGAGGACACAGAGACACAGAGAAGGAAGCAGAGACUGGAGGGAUGCCCACACCAAGGACACCAGGAGCCCCCAAGGAGUUGGAAGAGACGGAGUUUCGCUCUUCUUCCCAUGCUGGAGUGCAAUGGCGCAAUCUCAGCUCACCCCAACCUCCGCCUCCUGGGUUCAAGCGAUUCUCCUGCCUCAGCCUCCUGAUUACCUGGGAUUACAGGCAUGUGCCACCACACCUGGCUAAUUUUGUGUUUUUAGUAGAGAUGGGGUUUCUCCAUGUCGGUCAGGCUGGUCUGGAACUCCUGACCUCAGGUGAUCCGCCCACCUCAGCCUCCUAAAAUGCUGGGAUUACAGGCGUGAGCCACCGCGCCCAGCCUAUAAAAUUGAUUCUUUAAAAAAAAUUAGAACAUUUACCGAUGCUGGACCCACCUUCCCCACCUUCAGGGUCCACUUUCUAGGUGGCCACAGUGCCUGCUUGGCCCCUGUAGCAUUUGAGUUUGCAACUCUGCUUUUGGAGUUAAACAUGUUUUAGGAGUCCUGGGAUUCUGAUUGAUGCUAUUGUCAAUUUGAUGAAAGAAAAAUUACUCCUGGGA
rnacentral:lncRNA from 1 species